rnacentral:rRNA from 1 species
AUUGAACGCUGGCGGCAGGCCUAACACAUGCAAGUCGAACGGUAACAGGAAGCAGCUUGCUGCUUUGCUGACGAGUGGCGGACGGGUGAGUAAUGUCUGGGAAACUGCCCGAUGGAGGGGGAUAACUACUGGAAACGGUAGCUAAUACCGCAUAACGUCGCAAGACCAAAGAGGGGGACCUUAGGGCCUCUUGCCAUCGGAUGUGCCCAGAUGGGAUUAGCUAGUAGGUGGGGUAACGGCUCACCUAGGCGACGAUCCCUAGCUGGUCUGAGAGGAUGACCAGCCACACUGGAACGGAGACACGGUCCAGACUCCUACGGGAGGCAGCAGUGGGGAAUGUUGCACAAUGGGCGCAAGCCUGAUGCAGCCAUGCCGCGUGUAUGAAGAAGGCCUUCGAGUUGUAAAGUACUUUCAGCGGGGAGGAAGGGAGUAAAGUUAAUACCUUUGCUCAUUGACGUUACCCGCAGAAGAAGCACCGGAUAACUCCGUG